CAAUAGCGUAUAUUAAAGUUGUUGCAGUUAAAAAGCUCGUAGUUGGAUUUCUGGUGGGAGCGAUCGGUCUGGCGCUUAGCGCGAGUACUUGCAUCGUCUCCAGCCAUCCUUGGGGAGAGUCUGUCUGGCAUUAAGUUGUCGGGCAGAGGAUCCUCAUCGUUUACUGUGAAAAAAUUAGAGUGUUCAAAGCAGGCUUAUGCCGUUGAAUAUAUUAGCAUGGAAUAAUAAGAUAGGACUUUGGUACUAUUUUGUUGGUUUGCGCACCAAAGUAAUGAUUAAUAGGGACAGUUGGGGGUAUUCGUAUUCCGUUGUCAGAGGUGAAAUUCUUGGAUUUACGGAAGACGAACUACUGCGAAAGCAUUUACCAAGGAUGUUUUCAUUAA
rnacentral:rRNA from 1 species